rnacentral:piRNA from 1 species
UGACAGAGCUGAGUGGCAGUACCAUC